UUCUGCCCAGUGCUCUGAA
rnacentral:ncRNA from 3 species